UACGUAGGGGGCAAGCGUUGUCCGGAAUCAUUGGGCGUAAAGAGCGUGUAGGCGGCCCGACAAGUCCGCCGUGAAAGUCCAGGGCUCAACCCUGGAAUGCCGGUGGAAACUGUCGGGCUGGAGUCCGGAAGAGGCGAGUGGAAUUCCUGGUGUAGCGGUGAAAUGCGCAGAUAUCAGGAGGAACACCAAUGGCGAAGGCAGCUCGCUGGGACGGUACUGACGCUGAGACGCGAAAGCGUGGGGAGCAAACAGG
rnacentral:rRNA from 1 species